CCUUACCAACCCUUGACAUCUGGAUCGCGGUUUUCCGAGAGGAAUUCCUUCAGUUCGGCUGGAUCCAAGACAGGUGCUGCAUGGCUGUCGUCAGCUCGUGUCGUGAGAUGUUCGGUUAAGUCCGGCAGCGAGCGCAACCCACGUCCUUAGUUGCCAGCAGUUCGGCUGGGCACUCUAAGGAAACUGCCGGUGAUAAGCCGGAGGAAGGUGUGGAUGACGUCAAGUCCUCAUGGCCCUUACGGGUUGGGCUACACA
rnacentral:rRNA from 1 species